rnacentral:rRNA from 1 species
CCUACGUGUGGCAGCAGUAGGGAAUAUUGCUCAAUGGGGGAAACCCUGAAGCAGCAACGCCGCGUGGAGGAUGAAGGUUUUCGGAUUGUAAACUCCUUUUGUUAGAGAAGAUAAUGAUGAUAUCUAACGACUAAGUACUGGCUAACUCCGUGCCAGCAGCCGCGGUCAUACGGAGGGUGCAAGCGUUACUCGGAAGCACGGGGCGUAAAGAGAGCGGAGGCGGAAUAGCAAGUCAGAUGUGAAAUCCUAGGGCUUAACCAUAGAAUUGCAUUUGAAACUGUUAUUCUAGAGUAGUGGAGAGGUAGGUGGAAUUCUUGGUGUAGGGGUAAAAUGCGUAGAGAUCAAGAGGAAUAC